rnacentral:lncRNA from 1 species
GUUGUUUUCUUCUUAUAGUUGAUGUGUUUCCCUCGGUUUCAGUUUGUAACCCGGAUUUGUUUUCUCUCAAUUGAUUUAUAACUUUCGAUUGAUUGAUUGAUUGUUGGUUGCUUAACGUCCAGUGGCAAAUAUUGCAUGCAUAUUCAAGACGAGAACAAGUUCACAAUAAAUACAAUAGGUAGGUCUUGUCAUAAUAGAGGCCAUAAGGGAUGAUAGUCGGGGAAAUUUCGACUGCCACUGGAAAAUGAGGGUAUAUUGGAUAGGGACAGAAAUUUUGCCUUACAACAGGCCACCUAGGGGCCCUCAAAGAGUUGUUGUAAGGGUUCUUAACGUGCAAAGAGCGUGGCACUCUCUUUACACGAUACAUCGGAUUUAACGUCCCCAUUCUGACUGGACGU